UCAUUUUUGUCCAAAUGACCAAAAUACCCCUAGAACAAAAAUUUCCGAAAUUUGGAUAAAAUUAUCAAAAUAUCAUAUUAUUAACAUAAGCUUGUAAGCAUCCAAAAUUUGGCCAAAAACUUAAAAUCUGACAUUUCAGAAUUUUUGUCCCAGGGGUAUUUUGGUCAUUUUGACAAAUUUGU
rnacentral:pre_miRNA from 1 species